GCUCUUGUGGUGUAGUCGCUAUCAUACUUUCUUUGGGUGCUCCUCCCGCCUCGACAGCAGUCGAGACGAUGUAGGUCAACAAUGGAAGUGGUCCCGGGUUCAAAUCCCGGCGGGGGCC